rnacentral:lncRNA from 1 species
CUGUCUUCAAAAAUGUAUGAUUUAUGACUUGUUUGUUUUCCAACUUUUUGUCCAGCUUCCCUUUGAUAAAUCAAUUGUGAGCAUAAGGUAGUCAUUGUAGUCGUUUUCUGUUCUGCAACUGUAUCAAAAAUGGGAAUCGGAAAUCCAAGAUCCUUCAUGAUUAAAGUUGCAUCUCCCUUCUUAAUAUGACAUGUAUUUGUAGACCAUUGAUUUCCCAGCAUCCAACCAUGUGAUUCCUCUUUCCUCGCAUUCCAAUUCCCAGCAAAGGAAUUCAGCCUUCUUGAUGUUGAGUGAGCAUGUACAGCUGCAGAAGUGCCUCACAUAGUUCUCUGGUUUCCUCUGUUGUCUCCAGUGUUUGAAUCCAUUUCUAUGGUUUCCCAUUAAACCAUUGCACAAGCAUGUACCUCCAUACUUUGACCAAUAUUGGAUGUUGAACAAGAUUCCUCCAGUAUCCCUUCUUGUAAAACUUACCAUUAGCCCCUAGGACUGCAUUAUUUGAUUCCCAAUUGUCCAGAUGUUUGGGCAUUAAAGUCCUUCUAUCCAUGCUUGUGCCUCCUAUUGUUACUCCUCCAAGGGAAUGAGAAACUAGUUCUAAUACCACCCUUUGAAUUUGUAACAAAUAAGAGGGCAUGUGUACAGUAAUUUUCCCUGCAAAAGGAACAUAAAAUUAGUAAAACCAUAGACCAUCCUUUCCUCCUCCUCUAGGAUUUGGAUCUGGUACUUUGUAGCAUUAUGAUGUGCUACAUAUUUCCUUGCUCGACUCCCUGUAUGAGGGCCUGAACGUGAUUUGAGUAUUGCACUGAUCCACCAGUUGGUUCGACUAGUCUACCAGUUAUACACAUUCUUGAAUCUGCUCCUUUUGAUGUGCUUCUUGUGUGAUUUCUUUUGUUUGC